rnacentral:rRNA from 1 species
UGGGGAAUAUUGGACAAUGGGCGCAAGCCUGAUCCAGCAAUGCCGCGUGUGUGAAGAAGGCCUUCGGGUUGUAAAGCACUUUUAUCAGGAGCGAAACGCUGUCGGCUAAUACCCGGCGGAACUGACGGUACCUGAGGAAUAAGCACCGGCUAACUUCGUGCCAGCAGCCGCGGUAAUACGAAGGGUGCAAGCGUUAAUCGGAAUUACUGGGCGUAAAGCGUGCGUAGGCGGUUUCUUAAGUCUGCUGUGAAAUCCCCGGGCUCAACCUGGGAAUGGCAGUGGAUACUGGGAGGCUAGAGUGUGUCAGAGGGUGGUGGAAUUCCCGGUGUAGCGGUGAAAUGCGUAGAGAUCGGGAGGAACAUCAGUGGCGAAGGCGGCCACCUGGGACAACACUGACGCUGAGGCACGAAAGCGUGGGGAGCAAACAGGAUUAGGAUACCCUGGUAGUCCACGCCCUAAAAGCGAUGCGAACUGGAUGUUGGUCUCAACUCGGAGAUCAGUGUCGAAGCUAACGCGUUAAGUUCGCCGCCUGGGGAGUACGGUCGCAAGACUGAAACUUAAAGGAAUUGACGGGGUCAUAGCUGUUUCC